AGCUCUUCUCACACACAGAGCAACGAAAUGGCUUUUCUCCUGUGUGGAUGCGUUGGUGUUGGGCCAGCUUGGAGAAGUGGGUGAAACCCUUCCCACACACAGAGCACUGAUGUGGCUUCUCCCCUGUGUGGAUGAACCGGUGCCGGGCCAGGUGUGAGGAGUACGUGAAGCCUUU